rnacentral:rRNA from 1 species
UACGUAGGUGUCAAGCGUUGUCCGGAUUUAUUGGGCGUAAGGCGCCCGCAGGCGGCUUGCCAAGUUCGAUGUGAAAUCUCCCGGCUCAACUGGGAGGGUGCAUCGAAAACUGGCAGGCUUGAGGCAGGGAGAGGGAUGUGGAAUUCCAGGUGUAGUGGUGAAAUGCGUAGAUAUCAGGAGGAACACCGGCGGUGUAGACGGCUUUCUGGACCGUAGCUGACGCUGAGACACGAAAGCGUGGGUAGCAAACAGG